CACGUAGGCAACCUGCCCACAAGACAGGGAUAACUACCGGAAACGGUAGCUAGUACCCGAUACAUCCUUUUCCUGCAUGGGAGAAGGAGGAAAGGCGGAGCAAUCUGUCACUUGUGGAUGGGCCUGCGGCGCAUUAGCUAGUUGGUGGGGUAAAGGCCUACCAAGGCGACGAUGCGUAGCCGACCUGAGAGGGUGAUCGGCCACACUGGGACUGAGACACGGCCCAGACUCCUACGGGAGGCAGCAGUAGGGAAUCUUCCGCAAUGGGCGAAAGCCUGACGGAGCAACGCCGCGUGAGUGAUGAAGGUUUUCGGAUCGUAAAGCUCUGUUGCCAGGGAAGAACGCUUGAGAGAGUAACUGCUCUUGAGGUGACGGUACCUGAGAAGAAAGCCCCGGCUAACUACGUG
rnacentral:rRNA from 1 species